rnacentral:rRNA from 1 species
UACAGAGGGUGCAAGCGUUGUUCGGAUUUAUUGGGCGUAAAGAGCGUGUAGGCGGCCAUGCAGGUCCGUUGUGAAAACUCGAGGCUCAACCUCGAGACGCCGAUGGAAACCGCAUGGCUAGAGUCCGGAAGAGGAGAGUGGAAUUCCUGGUGUAGCGGUGAAAUGCGCAGAUAUCAGGAAGAACACCCGUGGCUAAGGCGGCUCUCUAGUACGGUACUGACGCUGAGACGCGAAAGCGUGGGGAGCGAACAGG